rnacentral:tRNA from 1 species
GGGGUGGUCGCGAAAGCGGCAGGAGGAUGAAAAUCCGCUGACCUUAAACAAGUCGUGAGGGUUCAAGUCCCUCCGCCCCCACCA